UUAUGUCUUGACGAGUAAGAGGGUCGCGGCGGUGAGCGCAGAAGGGUCAGGGCGAGAGCCUGCCUGGAGCCGCCGUCGGUGCAGAUCUUGGUGGUAGUAGCAAAUACUCUAGCGAGGGCCUGGAGGACUGACGUGGAGAAGGGUUUCUUGUGAACAGCCGUUGCACAAGAGUCAGUCGACCCUGAGCCCUAGGAGAAAUCCAAUGUCGAUGGGUGGCUUGACAAAAAGCAGCACAAUGACACAAUUCAAUAGUAAAAUAUUGAACUGUCUGUGGUAGCCAAUUUGAACAGCUCCUGUCGGGCAAAAGGGAAUCCGGUUCCUAUUCCGGAACCCGGCUGCGUAACCGCCACUUUGCGGGCACUUGCUUGCGAGCGCUCGUCGGGGUAACCCAAACUGGCCUGGAGACGCCGGCGGGGGGUCUGGAAAGAGUUUUCUUUUCUUUAUAAGCGUUCGAGUACCCUGGAAUCCUAUAGCAGGGAGAUAGGGUUUGGAUACGCGAAGAGCACCGCAGUUGCGGCGGUGUCCGGACCUUCCCCCCGGACCUUGAAAAUCCAGGUGAGGGCCACGCGGAAGUCGCGCCGG
rnacentral:rRNA from 1 species